rnacentral:rRNA from 1 species
UACGUAGGGACCGAGCGUUGUCCGGAAUCAUUGGGCGUAAAGAGCGUGUAGGCGGCCUUUUAAGUCCUGCGUGAAAUCCUGCGGCUCAACCGCAGACGGUCGUGGGAAACUGGAAGGCUAGAGUGCGGGAGAGGAGAGUGGAAUUCCCGGUGUAGCGGUGAAAUGCGCAGAUAUCGGGAGGAACACCGGUGGCGAAGGCGGCUUCCUGGACCGACACUGACGCUGAGGCGCGAAAGCUAGGGGAGCAAACGGGG